rnacentral:rRNA from 1 species
GACGAACGCUGGCGGCGUGCCUAAUGCAUGCAAGUCGAGCGAAGUUUUUCUGGUGCUUGCACCGGAAAAACUUAGCGGCGAACGGGUGAGUAACACGUAAAGAACCUGCCUUAUAGACUGGGACAACUAUUGGAAACGAUAGCUAAUACCGGAUAACAGCAUUAACUGCAUGGUUGAUGUUUGAAAGUUGGUUUUGCUAACACUAUGAGAUGGCUUUGCGGUGCAUUAGCUAGUUGGUGGGGUAAAGGCCUACCAAGGCGACGAUGCAUAGCCGACCUGAGAGGGUGAUCGGCCACACUGGGACUGAGACACGGCCCAGACUCCUACGGGAGGCAGCAGUAGGGAAUCUUCCGCAAUGGGCGAAAGCCUGACGGAGCAACGCCGCGUGAGUGAAGAAGGAUUUCGGUUCGUAAAGCUCUGUUGUUAGGGAAGAAUGAUUGUGUAGUAACUAUACACAGUAGAGACGGUACCUAACCAGAAAGCCACGGCUAACUACGUG